GACGAACGCUGGCGGCGUGCUUAACACAUGCAAGUCGAACGAGAAAGCCCUUCGGGGUAAGUACAGUGGCGAACGGGUGAGUAACACGUGGGCAACCUGCCCCAGAGAGCGGGACAACCCGGGGAAACCCGGGCUAAUACCGCAUGAUGCGUCUCCACUUAAGUGGAGCCGCCAAAUGGUAGCUUCGGCCUCCGCUCUGGGAUGGGCCCGCGCCGGAUUAGCUAGUUGGUUGGGGUAACGGCCCACCAAGGCGACGAUCCGUAGCUGGUCUGAGAGGACGAUCAGCCACACUGGGACUGAGACACGGCCCAGACUCCUACGGGAGGCAGCAGUGGGGAAUCUUGCGCAAUGGGCGAAAGCCUGACGCAGCAACGCCGCGUGGGGGAAGAAGGCCUUCGGGUUGUAAACCUCUUUCAGUAGGGACGAAGCUUCCGGGGUUAAUAGCCUACGGGGUGACGGUACCUACAGAAGAAGCCCCGGCUAACUACGUGCCAGCAGCCGCCGCCG
rnacentral:rRNA from 1 species